rnacentral:lncRNA from 1 species
UGAGAACUGUUCCAUCUGUAGUUUUUCUAACUGCAGUAAGGAUCUGAUUUCUAUCUAUAUCAUCUAAAUAAUGAUCCCACCAAUCCUUCAACUGGCUAGUGAAACCAGCUACAAGAUUUUGAACAAUAGCAUGGUCAGGUGUAUUUUUGAUUUUGUAAGCGUUUGAUACCAUAAUCAUUUUCUGAAGUAUAUUUUAGAUGCCAUAUUCAGUUACCCCAUCUA